rnacentral:rRNA from 1 species
CAGCCGUAAACAAUGUGCGUUAGGUGUGUCGGUAACCACGUGUUACUGAUGCGCCGAAGAGAAAUCGUGAAACGCACCACCUGGGAAGUACGGUCGCGAGGCUGAAACUUAAAGGAAUUGGCGGGGGAGCACCACAACAGGUGGAGCCUGCGGUUUAAUUGGAUUCAACGCCGGACAUCUCACCGGAUAAGACAGCUGAAUGAUUGUCAAUCUGAAGGUUUUACAUGACUAGCUGAGAGGAGGUGCAUGGCGUCAGUGACU